CAAGGAAAUAAGUUUACAUACCUCUAUUCCACAGGGCACAGUUCUAUUACAUUCCCCCACGAUGCAGAAAAAGUGUAAAAACGGGAUGAAAACUGCUUACUCUGGCUUGCCUCCUAUCAGGCUGGCUUAUAAACUACAUAC